rnacentral:rRNA from 1 species
AAGAAGGAGGGAGGAGUGCUUAACACAUGCAAGUCGAACGGAAAGGCCCUGCUUUUGUGGGGUGCUCGAGUGGCGAACGGGUGAGUAACACGUGAGUAACCUGCCCUUGACUUUGGGAUAACUUCAGGAAACUGGGGCUAAUACCGGAUAGGAGCUCCUGCUGCAUGGUGGGGGUUGGAAAGUUUCGGCGGUUGGGGAUGGACUCGCGGCUUAUCAGCUUGUUGGUGGGGUAGUGGCUUACCAAGGCUUUGACGGGUAGCCGGCCUGAGAGGGUGACCGGCCACAUUGGGACUGAGAUACGGCCCAGACUCCUACGGGAGGCAGCAGUGGGGAAUAUUGCACAAUGGGCGGAAGCCUGAUGCAGCAACGCCGCGUGCGGGAUGACGGCCUUCGGGUUGUAAACCGCUUUCGCCUGUGACGAAGCGUGAGUGACGGUAAUGGGUAAAGAAGCACCGGCUAACUACGUG